AGUGAACGCUGGCGGUAGGCCUAACACAUGCAAGUCGAACGGCAGCACAGUAAGAGCUUGCUCUUACGGGUGGCGAGUGGCGGACGGGUGAGGAAUACAUCGGAAUCUACUUUUUCGUGGGGGAUAACGUAGGGAAACUUACGCUAAUACCGCAUACGACCUACGGGUGAAAGCAGGGGAUCUUCGGACCUUGCGCGAUUGAAUGAGCCGAUGUUGGAUUAGCUAGUUGGCGGGGUAAAGGCCCACCAAGGCGACGAUCCGUAGCUGGUCUGAGAGGAUGAUCAGCCACACUGGAACUGGGACACGGUCCAGACUCCUACGGGAGGCAGCAGUGGGGAAUAUUGGACAAUGGGCGCAAGCCUGAUCCAGCCAUACCGCGUGGGUGAAGAAGGCCUUCGGGUUGUAAAGCCCUUUUGUUGGGAAAGAAAAGCAGCAGGUUAAUACCCCGCUGUUCUGACGGUACCCAAAGAAUAAGCACCGGCUAACUUCGUG
rnacentral:rRNA from 1 species